CCUACGGGAGGCAGCAGUGAGGAAUAUUGGUCAAUGGACGAGAGUCUGAACCAGCCAAGUAGCGUGAAGGAUGACUGCCCUAUGGGUUGUAAACUUCUUUUAUAAAGGAAUAAAACGAGGCACGUGUGCCUUUUUGCAUGUACUUUAUGAAUAAGGAUCGGCUAACUCCGUGCCAGCAGCCGCGGUAAUACGGAGGAUCCGAGCGUUAUCCGGAUUUAUUGGGUUUAAAGGGAGCGUAGAUGGGUUGUUAAGUCAGUUGUGAAAGUUUGCGGCUCAACCAUAAAAUUGCAAUUGAUACUGGCAGUCGUGAGUACAGUUGAGGUAAGCGGAAUUCGUGGUGUAGCGGUGAAAUGCUUAGAUAUCACGAAGAACCCCGAUUGCGAAGGCAGCUUACUAAACUGUGACUGACAUUGAUGCUCGAAAGUGUGGGUAUCAAACAGGAUUAGAUACCCUUGUAGUC
rnacentral:rRNA from 1 species